ensembl:lncRNA
CAUUUAAAACUGGUUUGUUUGUUUUUUAAGUCAAUAAGUACACGAGGAGGGGCCGAGGCAGCUGCAGCACCCGGGGUGUGCGUUCACAGUACGUGACAUCGUCACAAACCGCCCCAGUGUCCAGACUGCGGUCAGCACCUCGGGGGCAAGUGGGUUCCCCCCUGUGGCCAAAGGAGCAGCACCUGGUGCUGCAUCCUCUCCACGGAAACCGCAGAAGGGUCAGGAUGACGAGGUCUGUUCCGCUCUCCCGCACUCUGAAAUGGCAACUCGGGACACUGUCCUGACGUUUGUCGCGGACGCGGGACAGGGAGAGGCUACAGAAAACACGACGGAGAAGGCAGACGUUCAUGCAGGAGCUCAGGAUGCCAGUCCUGCAGGAAGGGGCGGAGCAGGGCCGGCCCGCGCCCUGAAGCGUGCACGUCGGAAGAGAGAAAAGACGGAUGCUGUUAUCGCCUGUCAACCAGCAGAUGGCGCCCUCAUCAGCAAUUCAGACGCCUCUCGGUGUACUGAAUCAACCGCUAUCAUAGGGCUGAGCGGAGCUCGUGUCCGGCUCAUUGGCAAAGACGGGAGCGCCAGCAGUGGACAGAAACGGCGCAUUCGAGCCAUUCUACCUGCGCCCGCAUCCCCCAGUAAGACCCGCUACCAGUCUAUGCACAUCACCAGUC